rnacentral:lncRNA from 1 species
CCUGAUGGCCGACUUGUUGCUCCGCCUCACGCUGACCUGUGCUCGCCUUAUGGCUGAACUGUUGCUCCGAGUCCGCCUGACGAGCCACCUGUUUCUCCGGACCUGUUUCUCCGCCUAACGGCGACCUGUUUCUCCGGACCUGUUUCUCCGGACCUGUUUCUCCGCCUAACGGCGACCUGUUUCUCCGGACCUGUUUCUCCGCCUAACGCCCGAGCUGUUGCUCCGCCUAACGCCUGACCUGUGCUCCCCUCACGCCCAGCCUGUUGAUCGGUGGACGGGUAAGCGCGCAUGGCAUCGGAAGGAGCUCGAAAAGUAUAAGGUGAUGACAGUAAGUAACGUUACUGUGAUUUGUGAUCUUUCUGGGGUGUUAACUGUAAAGCAAUGGAUAAUUGCGUGAAAAUCAAACUAAAAGAAUGCAAUCUUGAGGAGUUAAUCCCCACAUUUGAAGGAGCGAACCUUUCCUCGUUUUUAGGUCAAUUUGAAUACAAUUCAGAGGGGUGGCAUGGGGGCGCAGUGGGUAGUGCUGUCGCCUCACAGCAAGAUGGUCGCUGGUUUGAGCCUUGGAUGGGUUUCCCCUCCACAGUCCAAUGACAUGCGGUGUAGCUGAAUUGGAUUGGGACCAAUAUUGCUGAGUAUCUUCAUCCAUUGAAUUCAAGAAUCUAUUGAGUUUCCUUAUGUUCUCAUCCUUGGAGACCACCACUUCUUUCAAGCCUUUGCUCACGUGCUGUGC